GUGCUCACUUCGGCAGCACAUAUACUAAAAUUGGAACGAUACAGAGAAGAUUAGCAAGGUUGAGGUAUAUGUAUUUUUCAGCUGGCAUUUGGAAAUGAAUCAGUUUUU